CCCCGAUUCGAGCGACCAUCGAGACAUUGGGGCCUCCGCGGCGCCUAGAGGGGACGCAGAAGUGCCUCUGAGGUGUCAAACUUAGAGAAGACUGAGGAGCCAACAGAGAUGGAAGGAGACUAAUAAGAGGACAAAGGCAAUCAAAUGCAAUACGAAAUCUGCUUGGACAUCAGUGAAGAAGCUCGUGAAAUGUGACUGUCCUGGAGGCCUCAGGGCAUGUGUGGGUGGCAGAAUAGAGACCCACAGAGUGCCUGGAGCACAAUGGUAUGUGGAGCUGAGAGCCAUGAGGAUUCCCGCCAACCACAGGUGGUGGAGGAGCUGAAAAGCAGUAGCUGCAGCCAGGUGCUGGAGAAGUACGACUCCUUCUCCACCAAGGUUCGAUGAAAUCGCUGGGGGCUUUGACCAGCUCCCCCAGGCCCUGCAUGCUGCCCUCUUGCCCGGGACAGUCCAGCUCCACUCGCCAGCAGAGGAGGUAGAAUCAUCCGGAGACCACGUCCACAUCACCUACCGAACGCCUGACCCUCUGCAGACCAGGGUACAUCUGACCGCCGAUGACCUGAUUGUGGCCACCACAACCAAGGCUGCCUGUUUCCGGCCACCUCUCUCCCAUGGCAAGGAGGACGCACUGCGAUCCGUCCACUACAGCAGUGCCACCAAAGUGAUCCUGACCCGCACGAAGCAUUUCUGGGAGCACAAAGGCAUCUUAGGGGGCAAGUCCAGCACCAACCAGCCUUCCGCUUCAUCUUCUACGCCAACCACAUCUUUCCCAACGGCACAGGGGUCAUCCUGGCCUCCUAUACCCUGGACGAUGACUCCUCUUUCUUCGUUGUCAUGGACGUGCCUGGGCAAUUGAUAUUGUCCUGGACGACCUGGCAGUAGU